rnacentral:rRNA from 1 species
GAUGAACGCUGGCGGCGUGCCUAAUACAUGCAAGUCGAGCGAACAGACGAGGAGCUUGCUCCUUCGACGUUAGCGGCGGACGGGUGAGUAACACGUAGGUAACCUACCUAUAAGACUGGGAUAACUUCGGGAAACCGGAGCUAAUACCGGAUAAUAUUUCGAACCGCAUGGUUCGAUAGUGAAAGAUGGCUUUGCUAUCACUUAUAGAUGGACCUGCGCCGUAUUAGCUAGUCGGUAAGGUAACGGCUUACCAAGGCAACGAUACGUAGCCGACCUGAGAGGGUGAUCGGCCACACUGGAACUGAGACACGGUCCAGACUCCUACGGGAGGCAGCAGUAGGGAAUCUUCCGCAAUGGGCGAAAGCCUGACGGAGCAACGCCGCGUGAGUGAUGAAGGUCUUCGGAUCGUAAAACUCUGUUAUUAGGGAAGAACAAACGUGUAAGUAACUGUGCACGUCUUGACGGUACCUAAUCAGAAAGCCACGGCUAACUACGUG